GACGAACGCUGGCGGCGUGCUUAACACAUGCAAGUCGAACGGAAAGGCCCUGCUUUUGUGGGGUGCUCGAGUGGCGAACGGGGGAGUAACACGUGAGUAACCUGCCCUUGACUUUGGGAUAACUUCGGGAAACCGGAGCUAAUACCGGAGAAUAUAUUGAACCGCAUGGUUCAAUAGUGAAAGACGGGUUUGUUGUCACUUAUAGAUGGAUCCGCGCCGCAUUAGCUAGUUGGUAAGGUAACGGCUUACCAAGGCAACGAUGCGUAGCCGACCUGAGAGGGUGAUCGGCCACACUGGAACUGAGACACGGUCCAGACUCCUACGGGAGGCAGCAGUAGGGAAUCUUCCGCAAUGGGCGAAAGCCUGACGGAGCAACGCCGCGUGAGUGAUGAAGGUCUUCGGAUCGUAAAACUCUGUUAUUAGGGAAGAACAAAUGUGUAAGUAACUAUGCACGUCUUGACGGUACCUAAUCAGAAAGCCACGGCUAACUACGUG
rnacentral:rRNA from 1 species